GGAUCGGUAGCUCAGUGGUAGAGCAACGGACUGCAGUUCCGUAGGUCAUGGGUUCAAUUCCCAUUCGAUCCU